rnacentral:rRNA from 1 species
CUAAGCCAUGCGAGUCGAGAGGUGUAAGACCUCGGCAUACUGCUCAGUAACACGUGGUUAACCUGCCCUAAGGUGGAGAAUACUCCCGGGAAACUGGGGCUAAUGCUCCAUAGUGGAUAUGUCCUGGAAUGGUAUAUCCUCGAAAGAUCCGUCGCCUUAGGAUGGGACUGCGUCCGAUUAGGUUGUUGGCGGGGUAACGGCCCACCAAGCCAUUGAUCGGUACGGGUUGUGGGAGCAAGAUCCCGGAGAUGGAUUCUGAGACAUGAAUCCAGGCCCUACGGGGCGCAGCAGGCGCGCAAACUUUACAAUGCGAGCAAUCGUGAUAAGGAAACCCUGAGUGCCUGUCGAUGCAGGCUGUUCAUAUAUCUAAAUCAUAUGUGAAGAAAGGGCAGGGCAAGACCGGUGCCAGCCGCCGCGGUAAUACCGGCUGCUCGAGUGAUGGCCACUAUUACUGGGUUUAAAGCGUCCGUAGCUUGACUGUUAGGUCUCUUGGGAAAUCUUCACGCUCAACGUGAAGGCGUCUAAGAGAUACCGGCAGUCUUGGAACUGGGAGAGGUAAACCGUACUUCGGGGGUAGGAGUGAAAUCUUGUAAUCCUCGAGGGACGACCUAUGGCGAAGGCAGUUUACCAGAACAGCUUCGACAGUGAGGGACGAAAGCUGGGGGAGCAAACGGGAUUAGAUACCCCGGUAGUCCCAGCCGUAAACAAUGUGCGUUAGGUGUGUCGGUAACCACGUGUUACUGAUGCGCCGAAGAGAAAUCGUGAAACGCACCACCUGGGAAGUACGGUCGCAAGGCUGAAACUUAAAGGAAUUGGCGGGGGAGCACCACAACAGGUGGAGCCUGCGGUUUAAUUGGAUUCAACGCCGGACAUCUCACCG